rnacentral:rRNA from 1 species
UUUAUGGAGAGUUUGAUCCUGGCUCAGGAUGAACGCUGGCGGCGUGCCUAAUACAUGCAAGUCGAGCGAACGGACGAGAAGCUUGCUUCUCUGAUGUUAGCGGCGGACGGGUGAGUAACACGUGGAUAACCUACCUAUAAGACUGGGAUAACUUCGGGAAACCGGAGCUAAUACCGGAUAAUAUUUUGAACCGCAUGGUUCAAAAGUGAAAGACGGUCUUGCUGUCACUUAUAGAUGGAUCCGCGCUGCAUUAGCUAGUUGGUAAGGUAACGGCUUACCAAGGCAACGAUGCAUAGCC